UACGUAGGGUGCGAGCGUUAAUCGGAUUUACUGGGCGUAAAGCGUGCGCAGGCGGCCCGUUAAGACAGGUGUGAAAUCCCUGGGCUCAACCUAGGAAUUGCGCUUGUGACUGGCGGGCUCGAGUACGGUAGAGGGGGGUGGAAUUCCUGGUGUAGCAGUGAAAUGCGUAGAGAUCAGGAGGAACACCGAUGGCGAAGGCAGCCCCCUGGGCCUGUACUGACGCUGAGGCCCGAAAGCUAGGGGAGCAAACCGG
rnacentral:rRNA from 1 species